CCUACGGGGGGCAGCAGUAGGGAAUCUUCCGCAAUGGACGAAAGUCUGACGGAGCAACGCCGCGUGAGCGAAGAAGGUCUUCGGAUCGUAAAGCUCUGUUGUUAGGGAAGAACAAGUAUCGGAGGAAAUGCCGGUACCUUGACGGUACCUGACGAGAAAGCCACGGCUAACUACGUGCCAGCAGCCGCGGUAAUACGUAGGUGGCAAGCGUUGUCCGGAUUUAUUGGGCGUAAAGCGCGCGCAGGCGGUCCUUUAAGUCUGAUGUGAAAUCUUGCGGCUCAACCGCAAGCGGUCAUUGGAGACUGGGGGACUUGAGUGCAGAAGAGGAAAGCGGAAUUCCACGUGUAGCGGUGAAAUGCGUAGAGAUGUAGAGGAACACCCGCGGCGAAGGCGGCUUUCUGGUCUGUAACUGACGCUGAGGCGCGAAAGCGUGGGGAGCAAACAGGAUUAGAUACCCCGGUAGUC
rnacentral:rRNA from 1 species